ACAAGACCAUCUCCUUGACUGAGUUCCAGCCAGGCUCCUUGGAGCCUCUCCACUCGGCCUCAACUUUGGCUUGUAAAGACUUGAGCAGACACUAACAGUGUCUAACAGCUUCUGGCCGCACCCCUAGGCCGACCCCUGCCCCGUCAACACCUGCCUGAGAAAGCUCCGUACACCAGAACUGACUGUUUGCUCCAACCCCGACCUCCCUUUCUCAGGGCGUCUGCUGAAAGGCCUGCGACCACACGUCCUUCUGUCCGUUCCCGAUGUCUGUGCAUUUCCUGUGACCCAGGAGGGCCUUUCUCGGGACCUGAGAGCCACUCCCUGAAGUGUCCCCAUUGGGAAGAUGGGGCUGGUGUCUCCAGGCUCUGGGAGGACAGAAUCCUGACCUCAACAGUGGCCAGCACGGACACAGCGGGCCCCAUCCCAGCGACACUGACCAGCGCUGGGCAACUUUUCCCUUUCCUGACGACUGAGCCCCGAGCACCCUCCCUGCUCCCUGUACCUUCUCCCUUUACAAGGCUGUCGCCUCUGCACAGACGAAGGCCUGGGAGGAUCCAUGUCUGCGGUGCGAGCCGCCCCUCUGUGGUCCUGAGCUGACUCACAUACAUCUGACACCCACCUCUUGAUUCUGGAAGGCCCUCUGUGUGGCUCUGCCUGGCCAGCCUGAGCCAGCUCCCAGGCCUCAACCCAGCUUGUCCUGGAAGCCCUGCCCCAGCAGAGUGACCAGGGCAGGCAGCACCGUGCCCAGUAGGAGGAGAAACUGCAUCCAUGUAGGCAAGAGGAGAAGCCCCGGGGGUCCAUGUAGCGACAGGGGCCAGGGAGGGCCGCGUGGGCAGUGCGUGUGGCUGCAGGAGGCUGGGGUCGUGUGCAGGGAGCCCCCGAGGUGCAGCUCGACCAGCCGCCUCCCGACUCUGCUUCCCACCGGGCGCAGGACGCGUGUGAACACAGGAAGGCUGCUCCCAUCACAAAGUACAAGACUUAAAAAGGAUAUUUUAUUGUCAUCAAAAACGAGAAACAUUAAAGACGAUUAAUGAGCUUUAGAAAAUUUAAAAGAAGAAAAAAGCGACCAAAGCUGAAAUCGUGGCACCUCCUUCCAGUGAGCCCGGGAAUCCUCCCUGACGGCUGAGGCAGGCGCUUGCCGCGCUCCCGCUCGUGCCUCCCAUCCUGUCUGCGGAUUCUGUGUGACAUUCACCGAACGGCGUGACGCGGGCAGCAGAGCGUGGGAGCCUCUGUCCAGCAGUCGUGGCCAGCAGCCCCGCUUUCCCAAGGCCACGGGCACCCUCUUUG
rnacentral:lncRNA from 1 species